ACGGACAGAAAUCUCAAUGCAUUUAAUAAAAUCAAUUAAUAAUUAAUUAGAAAUAAACUGUUCCCAAAAGCAAACUUUUUCUUCCCAAUACAUUACUCCACUCUCUUUCCACGAUAGUUAGAAGGAAAAUAUGAGAGAGAGUAUUCACUCCAAACCUUAUCUCUCUCCCUUCUCAUUUGAACUUCUCCCUCAACAGUUAUCCUCGUCGAAGAUGGGUGAUGGACGGUGGCGGUGGCCAACAACUGAAAAAACUGAAAAAACCUAAACCCUACACAUAAACCCCCACUAUUCUUUUCUGUUCUUUCCCUAUCUAAACUUAGUUUCGUCAAAAAACUCAACCUAAACAUAGAUGGAACGAUUCCGAAAAUCAAAAAUCCUAAAACCUAUAACAUAAAACCCUUCGUAAUAACCAUUAACAAUAAACCAAAACACAUGAGAAAAAACAACUAGGGACGAGUUCGAAGAAACACCACAGUAAAGCAAGAAGAAGAAAAAAAGUCAAGAUCUUAUAGCUCAAAUAUUAAAGAGUCAAAAGAAGAACUACCUAGAUGUUCAGGCACAACAACAAUCGGUCCCUAGCCCUCUGCUUUCUAUUUCAAAGUUUGAAUGAGUCAAAAGAUGGAGGAAAGAUUCCAUUCUAUGAAGACAAAUGCCAAGUCACAAUCUUGCAAAAACAAAAGGGCCUACACUUUUUGAAAUAUUUUGGUUAUUAUUUUUUCUUAUUAAAUGUAACAAAAUGUAAUUCACAAUGUAUUAAGUUCUCUUAGUUAUUGAACUUAAUUAUAUAACUUAGUGUAACAAAAUGUUAUUUCUCUUAA